UUUGGUCUGGUUGCAGUCCUAACACAUGCAAGUCGAGCGGAUGAAGGGAGCUUGCUCCUGGAUUUAGCGGCGGACGGGUGAGUAAUGCCUAGGAAUCUGCCUGGUAGUGGGGGACAACGACUCGAAAGGGUCGCUAAUACCGCAUACGUCCUACGGGAGAAAGUGGGGGAUCUUCGGACCUCACGCUAUCAGAUGAGCCUAGGUCGGAUUAGCUAGUAGGUGAGGUAAUGGCUCACCUAGGCAACGAUCCGUAACUGGUCUGAGAGGAUGAUCAGUCACACUGGAACUGAGACACGGUCCAGACUCCUACGGGAGGCAGCAGUGGGGAAUAUUGGACAAUGGGCGAAAGCCUGAUCCAGCCAUGCCGCGUGUGUGAAGAAGGUCUUCGGAUUGUAAAGCACUUUAAGUUGGGAGGAAGGGUUGUAGUUUAAUACGCUGCAACUUUGACGUUACCAACAGAAUAAGCACCGGCUAACUCUGUGCCAGCAGCCGCGGUAAUACAGAGGGUGCAAGCGUUAAUCGGAAUUACUGGGCGUAAAGCGCGCGUAGGCGGCUUGAUAAGAUGGGUGUGAAAUCCCCGGGCUUAACCUGGGAACUGCAUCCAUAACUGUCUGGCUAGAGUACAGUAGAGGGUGGUGGAAUUUCCUGUGUAGCGGUGAAAUGCGUAGAUAUAGGAAGGAACACCAGUGGCGAAGGCGACCACCUGGACUGAUACUGACCCUGAGGUGCGAAAGCGUGGGGAGCAAACAGGAUUAGAUACCCU
rnacentral:rRNA from 1 species